AUCACUCCUACGGGAGGCAGCAGUGGGAAUUUUGGACAAUGGGGGCAACCCUGAUCCAGCCAUUCCGCGUGAGUGAAGAAGGCCUUCGGGUUGUAAAGCUCUUUCGGCAGGAACGAAACGGUGAGCUCUAACAUAGCUCGCUAAUGACGGUACCUGAAGAAGAAGCACCGGCUAACUACGUGCCAGCAGCCGCGGUAAUACGUAGGGUGCGAGCGUUAAUCGGAAUUACUGGGCGUAAAGCGUGCGCAGGCGUGGUUGUAGUAAGAGCAGGUAGCUGGAAAUUACCCCGGGCUUAACCUGGGAACUGCGCUUGUGACUGCGACGGCUAGAGUAUGGCAGAGGGGGUGGAAUUCCACGUGUAGCAGUGAAAUGCGUAGAGAUGUGGAGGAACACCGAUGGCGAAGGCAGCCCCCUGGGCCAAUACUGACGCUCAUGCACGAAAGCGUGGGGAGCAAACAGGAUUAGAUACCCUGGUAG
rnacentral:rRNA from 1 species